AUGGCUGACGCUGCUCAAAAUGUAGUUUCUGUUCUUAUCAGCUUAAUAUAUGGUACGGGUUGUAUUUGGACCCAUGAUAUUUAACUUAUUUGUGCAAGUUGGCGAAAUGCUCGGAGCCUGCUAUACCUCCGCCGAAAGGGGGGGGGGGGCGGUAUUGCACUAUCUUCGGGAUAUCUGGUCUACG